AGAGUUUGAUCCUGGCUCAGGACGAACGCUGGCGGCGUGCUUAACACAUGCAAGUCGAACGGAAAGGCCCUUCGGGGUACUCGAGUGGCGAACGGGUGAGUAACACGUGGGUGAUCUGCCCUGCACUUUGGGAUAAGCCUGGGAAACUGGGUCUAAUACCGAAUAUGACCGCAUGCUUCAUGGUGUGUGGUGGAAAGCUUUUGCGGUGUGGGAUGGGCCCGCGGCCUAUCAGCUUGUUGGUGGGGUAAUGGCCUACCAAGGCGACGACGGGUAGCCGGCCUGAGAGGGUGACCGGCCACACUGGGACUGAGAUACGGCCCAGACUCCUACGGGAGGCAGCAGUGGGGAGUAUUGCACAAUGGGCGCAAGCCUGAUGCAGCGACGCCGCGUG
rnacentral:rRNA from 1 species